ACGGAAGGCAGCAGUGGGGAAUAUUGCACAGUGGGGGAAACCCUGAUGCAGCAACGCCGCGUGAAGGAUGAAGGCCCUUGGGUCGUAAACUUCUGUUCUAAGGGAAGAUAAUGACGGUACCUUAGGAGCAAGUCCCGGCUAACUACGUGCCAGCAGCCGCGGUAAUACGUAGGGGGCGAGCGUUAUCCGGAAUUAUUGGGCGUAAAGGGUGCGUAGGUGGUUUCCUAAGCAUGGGGUUUAAGGCAAUGGCUUAACCAUUGUUCGCCGUAUGAACUGGGUAACUUGAGUGCUGGAGAGGAAAGCGGAAUUCCUAGUGUAGCGGUGAAAUGCGUAGAUAUUAGGAGGAACACCAGUGGUGAAGGCGGCUUUCUGGACAGUAACUGACACUGAGGCACGAAAGUGUGGGGAGCAAACAGGAUUAGAUACCCUGGUA
rnacentral:rRNA from 1 species